rnacentral:lncRNA from 1 species
UUACUAAUCUGUGUCCCAGACCAGACUGAGAGCUCUCUGAAAGCAGGGUCGGCUGAGGUCACUGUUGUAUCCCCAGCUGCUAGAACAGUGCCAGGCUCAUAGUAGGAAAACUCUGGCGCUUCUAAAGGGAACUCCACCCAAGCCCAGCUCCAGCAGGAAAUACCAAAAACUGCCCCUCUGUAGUUUGGGUCAUGGCACUCUUGCAUGAAGGAAAGGAGUAACAACUAAACCGGAGAUUUUUACUUCAGUGAUGGUUGAAGCGGCACAUUCCACAAGAUGACCCUGGCCCGCCAUGCCCCCAUUCUGUGCCUAUAAAAACCCCCGAAACCCUAGUGGGUAGAGACACAAGCAGCUGGACGUCAAGAGGAGCACACGGGCAGAACAUACUGGCAGGCUCCAGCAGACCCUGGCAGGCCAUCCACCGGUGGAACAAGGAAGCCAGAGGAAUUUGGCCGGGGUGGUUGGAGUUGAGUCUGGCUACUGAGCAACAGACUCCAGGGAAAACCACCUUCCCACUCUGUCCCCCUUCUGGCUCCCCAUCCAUCUGCUGAGAGCUACUUCCACCAUUCAAUAAAACCCUGCACUCAUUCUCCAUGUAUUUUUGUAUGUAGGAUAAAAUUCAAAACACUUAACUGUGCCCACAUGUGAUGCAAUUUUUCCGAUACACUAAGGCAAGAACCCCAAGACGAAAAGCCCUCUGUCCUUGCAAUAAGGCAGAGUGUCUAAUUGAGCUGAUUAACACAAGCCGCCUACAGAUAGCAAAACUAAAAGAGCACACUGUAACACAUGCCCCACUGGGGCUUCAGGAGCUGUAAACAUUCACCCCCAGACGCUGCCGUGGGGUCAGAGCCCCACAACCUGCUCAUCUGCCUGCUCCCCCUAGAGGUUUGAGCAGCGGGGGGCACUGAAGAAGCGAGUCACAGCCCCAUGGCAUGCUCUGCGAGGGGGACAAGGG